rnacentral:rRNA from 1 species
UGGGGAAUAUUGCACAAUGGGCGCAAGCCUGAUGCAGCCAUGCCGCGUGUGUGAAGAAGGCCUUCGGGUUGUAAAGCACUUUCAGCGAGGAGGAAGGUGGUGAACUUAAUACGUUCAUCAAUUGACGUUACUCGCAGAAGAAGCACCGGCUAACUCCGUGCCAGCAGCCGCGGUAAUACGGAGGGUGCAAGCGUUAAUCGGAAUUACUGGGCGUAAAGCGCACGCAGGCGGUUUGUUAAGUCAGAUGUGAAAUCCCCCGGGGCUCAACCUGGGAACUGCAUUUGAAACUGGCAAGCUAGAGUCUCGUAGAGGGGGGCUAGAAUUCCAGGUGUAGCGGUGAAAUGCGUAGAGAUCUGGAGGAAUACCGGUGGCGAAGGCGGCCCCCCUGGACGAAGACUGACGCUCAGGUGCGAAA